AUGGGGAGAAAGGCGCCUCCUUUAUCUCCGGCCGGACGGAAGCGCAAAGGUCCAUCGCUCCCCUUUCUCUCCCCCUGCAAACGCCGGUCUACCCCCACUCCGGCGCAGACAGCUACCGGCUGGGCGUCCCUCCCGGACGACAUAGCCCGCCAGGUCGCCGCGCUGGUGCUGAAAUUCGGCGUCGUGGACUACAUUGCCUUCCGCGCCGUCUGCUCCGGAUGGCGCACCUGCGCGCCCACUCCGCGCGACCCCACCCUCCGGAUCCGGUCUCUCCGCCCGGUCGGCUGGGUCACGCUCUGUGACGGCGACGCCGUCCGCCCCGACGACGCCUGCCAGAUAACCUUCUUCCACAGUCAAACGGCGAGGUGCCUCCGCGUCCGCCUGCCCGAGCUCCAGCGCCACAGGAUCAUUGGCUUCACCGAUGGUCUUGUCAUCCUGCUGCACAAGCGAACCACCGCGGUCCGCGUGCUCAACCCCUUCACAGGCGCCGCGGUUGACUUCCCGUCCCUCGUCCCCGUGUACCAGGAGCUGAUCAAGAACCGCAACUGUGUCCUUCACAUGAACGCUGCGGUUUGUAGUAGUGUAUCAUCCACCACCUCCAUUGCCGUCGUGGCCUGGUUCCCUUGGUCAUCUGUGGUGCUCAGUGCCGAUGCAGGCCACCCGAGCUGGGAGGUCAUCCAAACAAACAUGUAUCUGUCCAACACCUUGCCCUUCCAAGGUCAGCUCUACGGCUUCCUGCAGUCUUCAAGGCAGAUUGUGCAAGUCUACCCUCCCAAGCCACCCACCGGUCCUGUUGUUGCUCAUGUUCCACAAAAGUUUGGUAACCCGCUUUUCUGCAAGUACUAUCUCGUGGAGUCCGAUGGAGACAUGCUACUCGUUGUCAAGUCGCCCAAGUUUGUACACCCCGAUGUAGAGGAGUGGCGACGUUACAUCAUUGCCAUCUUCAAGGUGAAUAUAAGCAUCGUCGGCCACCGGGAACUGAUUCCCGUAACAAGUCUCGGCGACCGGGCAUUGUUCGUCUCCUUGGACAGGUGCUUGUCCGUGUCGUCCAAGAACCUUCCGUCCAUCAGCAGCAACUCGAUUUACCUCACGGUAUCACUCCCGGAUCCGGUCGUCGUGCAUUGUUUGAGCAGCCGAUCGUUCGAGCGGCCAACGGCGUUGUGUCAGGUACAUGACGGAAAGGAGAUGAUCUGCACAUCCGUGCGGCCCUUCACUCUUGCUGAUCAUCUUCUCACCUACUGCAAUCAUCAUGAAUGGUCAAAUGGACUGAUGUUUCAUGAGUACUACUCCAUACCUGAGUCUUUUCAAGGGCUGUGGAAGAAAAUAAGAACCCAGGAUUCCCAACUGAGGAUUUCACGCAUGAGAGAUUGA
rnacentral:rRNA from 1 species